UACGGAGGGGGCAAGCGUUAUUCGGAAUUAUUGGGCGUAAAGGGCGCGUAGGCGGCUCGAUAAGUCAAAGGUGAAAUCCUGGAGCUCAACUCCAGAACUGCCUUUGAUACUGGGAGUCUCGAGUCCGGGAGAGGUGAGUGGAACUGCGAGUGUAGAGGUGAAAUUCGUAGAUAUUCGCAAGAACACCAGUGGCGAAGGCGGCUCACUGGCCCGGUACUGACGCUGAGGUGCGAAAGCGUGGGGAGCAAACAGG
rnacentral:rRNA from 1 species